rnacentral:rRNA from 1 species
GCUGGCGGCGUGCUUAACACAUGCAAGUCGAACGAACCUUCGGGUUAGUGGCGGACGGGUGAGUAACGCGUGAGAAUCUGCCCUCAGGAGGGGGACAACAGCUGGAAACGGCUGCUAAUACCCCAUAUGCCGCGAGGUGAAAUGAAUUUCGCCUGAGGAUGAGCUCGCGUCUGAUUAGCUAGUUGGUGUAGGUAAUGGCUCACCAAGGCAUCGAUCAGUAGCUGGUCUGAGAGGAUGAUCAGCCACACUGGGACUGAGACACGGCCCAGACUCCUACGGGAGGCAGCAGUGGGGAAUUUUCCGCAAUGGGCGAAAGCCUGACGGAGCAACGCCGCGUGAGGGAUGAAGGCCUCUGGGCUGUAAACCUCUUUUAUCAAGGAAGAAGAUCUGACGGUACUUGAUGAAUAAGCCACGGCUAAUUCCGUGCCAGCAGCCGCGGUAAUACGGGAGUGGCAAGCGUUAUCCGGAAUUAUUGGGCGUAAAGCGUCCGCAGGCGGCCCUUCAAGUCUGCUGUUAAAAAGUGGAGCUUAACUCCAUCAUGGCAGUGGAAACUGUUGGGCUUGAGUGUGGUAGGGGCAGAGGGAAUUCCCGGUGUAGCGGUGAAAUGCGUA